rnacentral:rRNA from 1 species
AUUGAACGCUGGCGGCAGGCCUAACACAUGCAAGUCGAGCGGAGCGGCGGACGGGCGAGUGAUGCCUAGGAAUCUGCCUGGUAGUGGGGGAUAGCUACCGGAAAGGGGCGCUAACACCGCCUACUCUCAGACGAGCAUAGGUGGGAUUAGCUAGUUGGUGGGGUAAAGGCUUACCAAGGCGACGAUCCGUAACUGGUCUGAGAGGAUGAUCAGUCACACUGGAACUGAGACACGGUCCAGACUCCUACGGGAGGCAGCAGUGGGGAAUAUUGGACAAUGGGCGAAAGCCUGAUGCAGCCAUGCCGCGUGUGUGAAGAAGGUCUUCGGAUUGUAAAGCACUUUAAGUUGGGAGGCGUUACCAACAGAAUAAGCACCGGCUAACUUCGUGCCAGCAGCCGCGGUAAUAC